UCUCUAGUUGUCUAGUGGUUAGGACUUCAUGCUGUCACUGUCAAGGGUGCAGGUUCAAUCCCUGGUUGGAGAA
rnacentral:tRNA from 1 species